CCUACGGGAGGCAGCAGUGGGGAAUAUUGCACAAUGGGGGAAACCCUGAUGCAGCGACGCCGCGUGAGUGAAGAAGUAAUUCGUUACGUAAAGCUCUAUCAGCAGGGAAGAAACACUGACCUUACGGUCAGCAGACGGUACCUGAGUAAGAAGCCCCGGCUAACUACGUGCCAGCAGCCGCGGUAAUACGUAGGGGGCAAGCGUUAACCGGAUUUACUGGGUGUAAAGGGAGCGUAGACGGUGCGCCAAGUCUGGAGUGAAAUGCCGCAGCUUAACUGCGGAACUGCUUUGGAAACUGGCGAACUAGAGUGCGGGAGGGGUAAGCGGAAUUCCUAGUGUAGCGGUGAAAUGCGUAGAUAUUAGGAAGAACACCGGUGGCGAAGGCGGCUUACUGGACCGUAACUGACGUUGAGGCUCGAAAGCGUGGGGAGCAAACAGGAUUAGAUACCCCAGUAGUC
rnacentral:rRNA from 1 species